GGAGACGCUGGCGGCGUGCCUAAUACAUGCAAGUCGAGCGAAUGGAUUAAGAGCUUGCUCUUAUGAAGUUAGCGGCGGACGGGUGAGUAACACGUGGGUAACCUGCCCAUAAGACUGGGAUAACUCCGGGAAACCGGGGCUAAUACCGGAUAACAUUUUGAACCGCAUGGUUCGAAAUUGAAAGGCGGCUUCGGCUGUCACUUAUGGAUGGACCCGCGUCGCAUUAGCUAGUUGGUGAGGUAACGGCUCACCAAGGCAACGAUGCGUAGCCGACCUGAGAGGGUGAUCGGCCACACUGGGACUGAGACACGGCCCAGACUCCUACGGGAGGCAGCAGUAGGGAAUCUUCCGCAAUGGACGAAAGUCUGACGGAGCAACGCCGCGUGAGUGAUGAAGGCUUUCGGGUCGUAAAACUCUGUUGUUAGGGAAGAACAAGUGCUAGUUGAAUAAGCUGGCACCUUGACGGUACCUAACCAGAAAGCCACGGCUAACUACGUGCCACACCCGCGGUAAUACGUAAGUGGCAAGCGUUAUCCGGAAUUAUUGCCGUAAACCCCAAAAAGUGGUUUUCUUAAUCUGAUGUGGAGCCCCCGCUCAACCUGAAGGUUUGGAACCGGAAACUUCCCCGCAAGAAGAGGAUUGGAUUUCCGGUCAA
rnacentral:rRNA from 1 species